rnacentral:lncRNA from 1 species
CAAAUUGAUUUCUAAUUUUUGUGAUAUACAAUAUCUGCAGAGACUAUUAUCCACCUACUCAAGGUAUCAUCACCCUCAGGGAACCACCAAUUCAUACCAAUUCAUACGGCUGUUCUGAUAUUUCACAACAUGUUUACAUAUGCACAUAUGAACUGAAAUUUACAGUAUUUGAUUUUUGCUCAAAAUCCUAUGCUAUUUUGUGAACUGAAUUGUGGUGUGUAAGGUUCAACUUCAUACUCCUAUUCUCAACUCCAUUUCCGUAAUCUUCAGAAACAAAGAAGAAUUUGUACAGAACCUUUGGAAACAAGAAAACCUAAGGACAUAACAUUUAUACAAUUUCAGAUUUCUCCAAGAACCCAUCUUUCUUUUCUUCAAAUCUGAGUUGAAUCCUUCUUGCUUACCUUCGGAGAGAGAGUGAGAGUCGAGAAAGUGGUGAGAGCUGGGAGGGGGUCUGUCGGAGCCUCACUCUGAGUUGACGAAGUCGCAGCUGCCGGUGCUGCAGGUGGCAGCAGCCCACUGACCGCUCGUAGCUAAAGCAGGCGGAGGCCCAAGACGGACGGCUGUUGGCUGGUAGGAGGCGAGGCGGCGUGACCCGAAGCGAUGCGAGACGCCGUCGCACGGGGUGGCGCUGCCGAAGGCCAAGCGCCGCUAGCCACUACGAGAACGGAGCAGCAGCAGCAAGCGCUCGUCCGCUGCCGGAAACGUGAUGGAAAGAGAGGGCAGAUGGGAGGCGGGAGCGUGUGAGGAUGAAGGAGAAGAGAUAGAAAAGAUAGAGAGAGGGAGAUUAUAUAAAGUGUGUGUGUGGUGAUUGAAGAGAGAGAGAGAUAAAAAAAAGUGUGUGUGCGUGUGUUUUGUUGUGAGGAGAGAAGGAAUAUUUUAAAAAAAAAAGAUAGAGAGAGGGAGAUUAUAUAAAGUGUGUGUGUGGUGAUUGAAGAGAGAGAGAGAAUAAAAAAAAGUGUGUGUGCGUGUGUUUUGUUGUGAGAAGAGAGAAAGAUUAAAAAGUUUGUGUGAGUGUGUUUUGAUAGAAGAGAGAGAGGGG